UACGAAGGUGGCGAGCGUUACUCGGAAUUACUAGGCGUAAGGCGCAGGUAGGUGGUUGGGUAAGUCUGUCAUGAAAUCUCCUGGCUUAACUGGGAGGGGCUGAUGGAUACUGUCCGGCUCGAGUGUGGGAGAGGUAACUGGAAUUCCAGGUGUAGCGGUGAAAUGCGUAGAUAUCUGGAGGAACACCAAUGGCGAAAGCAGGUUACUGGCCCAAUACUGACACUGAGCUGCGAAAGCUAGGGGAGCAAACAGG
rnacentral:rRNA from 1 species